CGUUUACCAGAUCGCCACCCACACGCUCUGUUCUCAUGGUGCUUUCCGCUGUAGCUGGUUAACAAUGUGGGAAAGUGCUUCAUUCAUUCAUUCAUUUCUUCUGCUAGUAUUUACCUCGAGCCACUAGGCUGGGCUGUAUUGGAGGAACCGGGGACAGCGAGGAAUUAAUUCCUUCUGGCCCUUUUGGACCGGCGUUCAGCUGAGCUAUUCCUGGCUGGGCUCACGUCCCAGCGGUGAAGCCGGACGGAGAGCCAGGGGCUAAGUCCCAGGAAGAAAAAUAGGGAUGGGGGUGAGGGGAGGUGUCCAUGGUCCAGAGAGAUGAUUCUGAGAAAGUGAUAUCGAGCUGAAACCUACACAUAAAAUUUCGGGAGCUAUUGGUUGGGGGAGGAACUACACCUGUGGGUUAUGGAGCAGCUCCUCCCCCCGCGAGUUUAAAGAACACGAGGGGUUAGGACUUCUGGCUCCUCAGCCUGCUGCCCACCCCUCCCCGCCCCAGGCUCCCUCUCUACUCAGAGCGCUGGUCCUCUAGGGGGGCGCGUGUAUGAGUGUGUGUGCGUGUGUAGUGGGAGUGGGGGGUCCUUCACUUUCCCCCUCUCCGGCUCCCGGUCCACGCCUCCCCGCUCCCCGCUCCCCGCCGCCACUCUCCGGAGCGCCCGCCCACCCAGCCCCCCAGCCCUCCCCAUCCCCAGGAGAAAGGCAGAGCGGCGGCAGCGGGGAAAUGUGAAGUUUCUGCUGCUCAAAGUGACGCAAAAAUUCUUAAAGAGCUCUUUGGCGGCGGAUAUCUAGAGAUCAGACCAUGUGAGGGGCCGAGAGUACAAAUAACUGCCGCGCCGGCGCCGGAACAGGCAGCGGCGCCCGGGUGCCUCGACGGCGCGAGGGUCGCCCGCUCCGAAGCCCCGGACCAGCCUCCGCGGACUCCCGGCAGGGCUUCUGUUUGCUCUUCGCUGACCGCCAUCGCGUGCAGGGGGCUGUGUGCAGGCAUCUCCGCGGGGAGAGCCCUACUGGACACAAUGCCUAAAUAUCUAGAGAAAUCUCCGAAUGACACUUAAGUGGGACGAGUCUCCGUACGCUUGGGUGGUUUUCGCUCGCAGAGCCGAUGCACGCUCAGUCAUUCGGAAUUCACGUGAAACCCAGAACUCCAGCGAGCUGUACUACACGAUUGAAAUGUGUGCCCAUCAGUUGCUUGAAAAAUGUGUACGUUCAAAUUUGUUUUCUCAAAGGCUCUCUGGAGCUAAAGAACACUAAGAAGCACAUUUCUUUUUGCCCUGGGUCUUCUGUGUAAUGAAUUUUUUUUUUUCCCCAGUUGGGGUUCUAAAGAUUUCAGAGGGAUGGGAUUUCUAAGAGUCAGAUCUUAAAAAGGCUUCUUCUGUGUUAGUAUUUUUAUGAUCAAUUUUGUCCAGAAAAAUAAACCAGGUUAAUGGAUUAUUUAUGAGCCUGCUAGCUCUCAUCAUAGGAAGAGGAGAUCAAAUAUUUAAUGUGUGUUGCCUUAACACACAUUAGACAUGGGGAAAAUGUCUAAGAAAGCAACAUUGGGAUUUGUUGCUUAAUGAAGUGGAGGGGGCACCAUGGGCUCAUGGAUGUUUGGGUUUGGGGAGCAGAGAAAAACACACAGCUUUUACUUUGUCCGUUAAUCGCUUUCCUGUGAAGCCACCGGUGCUUAAAGGUUGAAGUUUUCCUGUCUGCAGACUGCGGUGGGGGUGGCUGCUUCUAGCAUGGAGGAGAGGGCAGGUUCUUA
ensembl:lncRNA